CACCCUCUCCCCCCUCCCCCAGCUUCGGGCCGGGAGAGCCCAGCGGCUCGGGCGACCACGCGUCGGAGGACUGCGUAGAGAUGCGCCAGGACAUAGACUUCAAGUGGAACGAUGAGUACUGCAUGGAAAAGAGGAGAUUUCUGUGUCGCAAGGCCCCCGAAUAAUCUUUUUUUCUAAGGCCAUGAGGGGUGAGGCAGACCCUUUGAAAAAUGUUUUUUGUCUCUCGUAAUCCUUUCGGUCCUCUGGAGUAAUUGCGUACGGUAAAAAAAAAAAAAAAAAAAAAAAACAUUGAAAUUCAUUUUCCUCUCUCCAUUUUUGUUAGGUAUUCUGCAUAGAUAGUACUAUAUGUGCAUGAGAGAUAGACAGAUAGAUAGAUAAACAGAUAGAGAGACAGAGGGGGGGAGAGGGAGAGGGAGAGGGAGAGAGAGAGAGAGAGAGAGAGAGAAUAGGGAAGAGCAGUGCAAAUUUAUUCCACGUUUUUUCUAUAUUCAUUAAACGAACGUAAUAUACAAACAGUAUGGCAUAACAUUAUUCGUAAAGCCACCUUGAUAAAUGACAAAAACUAAAUUCCGGUUCUAGUUGUUUUAUCUUUUCUCUGUUUUUCACUGUCUAUUUCCCUCUCUCUCAAUGUUUCUUUCUCGUUCAUUGUCUCUUUACCCUGUUUAUCUGGUGGCUUUUCUUCUAUAUUUACGUAUCCUUCUUCUUCUAUCCCUGUCUGUCUCUCUC